UAGUGGAUUGGAUUUAGAUGUAUGUUAAACUUAGUUAAUGAUCCUUUCAAGUUUUUUUUCUUUCGCUACGAAAAUAAAAUUAGUUUUGCGAAAAUGGGUUUACCCGAAGUCGAUGCAUACAUAUCUAUUAAAAACGAAAAGAGCGAUAGCUUUGUUAAAUGAAUGGGAUUAUAAAGUAAACAAUUAAACGAAAUAAUGUUUAGUAAGUGAUUCAUGAAUGAAUAUAAACCUAUCUCAACUCGGCUUCGCAGCUUUCGUAAACGAAUGUAUAAAAAAUGCUUUAGAAAACCAAAUUUGAAUGUUAAUUUGAUCAAAAUAUGAAAUGAAUGGACUAUAAUUAGUAUGUUCAUGUGUUAAAGUAUAAAACUAUCUGUGCGAAGAGAAGUUAUAUCAUCUUAGAGUUGAAUUAGAGUUUUAGAUCUAGGGAUGGAAAGAUAUGUAACAUUACGGUAUUGUCUAAUAAAAGAAUAUUCGUCAGGAAAUCUGUAGUCACAGAUAUAAGGAACUAAUUUAUGUAAAAAAUGGUUUUGAAACACACAUCUGAAGGUUAAUUUUAUUAUAUAAUGAAAUCAAUGGAACUUCUUUUGUAUUUUCAUGUGUCAAAGUAAAAAACUAUCUGAGCAAAGUGUAUUUCUUAAAAUUAGCUCUAGAUCUAAAUCCUUUCGAUCUUUUCUCAAGUCAACAUUGUAAACAUGGCCUAGAUCCAUAAAUAUUAUAGCUUUAAUAGAGUCGGACAACUUUAUUUUUUUUGAGGGUCUUAAGUUUGUUUUAGGGCUACAAUACAUACACUACGGUCUAAGUUAGUACCUAAGGAAUAUUCCUGCCAAGUUUUAUCAAGAUUGGUCAAGCGGUUUUGAUUUCUAUUCGUCACAUACAUACAUACAUACAUACAUACAUACAUACAUACAUACAUACAUACAUACAUACAUACAUACAUACAUACAUACAUACAUACAUACAUACAUACUGUUACAACAUUUAAUGGAGGCAACUCAACGAGGUAUGGGAACAAGACAAUACAAAGUUUAAUCAACAUAGAUCACCCAAAACAAGAACCGUUCCAAUCUCCUCGCACUUCCUCUUCUUCUCUCCCCGUUCAUUUAGUACAUCCUGGUGCGCUGGUGCGCAACCAUAGAGUCACUAAAGAACAUGGUCAUUACAAUACAUACAUACAUACAUACGCCUUACUUUAUACUUAUAUUGUAGAUGUGUGUGUGUGUGUGUUAGGGUUUGGAAAAUUCGCCUCCCUCCCCCCCAAAAAAAAAAGUUAUGGAUCCUCUAGUGACUCAAAGUCAAGCAUUUCCUUGGUCGCUUCACUGAUGGGUGGGGGGGGGGUUAGAUUCACGUGGCAGUUUCUCAACGUACCAGCUCAGGCCUGAGUUAGGGGAAUACCCUUCUCAUCAAGUGUGUAUGCAUAGCAUCCACGUCAUUGUCCGGCCUUGAACUUCAUCUCCUGUUUUAUGCCAUGUUCUGCUGUUGGAGCAUUGAUAAAAACAAAAGUUUAUUUGAGUGAGGUCAGAGGCGUCGCUAUGAGAAGACCGAACGUUUGACAAUGCUUCGUUCUAUUUCCCUUUUGAGAUUUUUAUUUCGAUAGACAUGAUAAAUAGUUUGCUUGGAGUCGAGCUGUAAUAAUGCGGUCUGGAUUUUGGGAGUCAGUCUUAAACAAGGAAAUCCUUUGCCGAACACUUUGUGACGUUGUGAUAGAGCGUGGCAUGAGGUGUGCGGGACAUGUUCUCCGACACAAAAAACUACGAAUACCAAGAGUUGCGAUGACAUGGAGGCCAUUACAGAUCUUUCUGAAGACAAAUUGCCAUCCCUGAACAGGAUGAUGAAUUUUCAUUACAUAACAAACAAAUUCAACGUGAGAUGAAAUGAAAUAAAUGUAGUAGACUCAAGUAACAAUAUACAAUUUCAAUCAAUACGAAAGAUAUUUUAAAAUAUCGAUCUAAUUUUCUAAAGAUCGGUUUAAAAUUUAAUGGCGGACCUCAUAGGUUGCGCCCAUUCAUUCGUGGCCAGCACUGAAGAUUCUUGAUAACAAAUAUCAAAUUCCACACUGAUAAACGAGGUCGCUUUCUAUAUUUAGUACAUCGGUAAUUCCCAUAUAUAUUACGUAAGGGAAAAUCAGCUCUUAAAACAGGAAUUCUAUAUCACAUAGGGUACAUAGUGUCUACAGUUAAACAUCGAACAUUAACUGUCUUCUGUUCGCUAAAAGUCUAAACAUUGAAAAGAUGUCUCUUGUGAUAGACCAAGUGAUUUUUGCUCUAUUAAAAUUUCUAUUUUUUAUAGUAUUCACAAUUAUAACCUGGUUCCUGUCGGUAACAUCACAAUGCCUCUUAUUUAUAAUCACUUUUGUGGCGCCGAUUGUCUUCCACACAACGACAGCAGCCGUUCAGGUCAUCACCCAGACUGCCAUCUGCCUGGUCCGGGUCCUGGUAAGCUUCAUCCAGAUGGUAAUCAUCGACUGGAGGAUCACACUUUUGGUGUUAUUUUUCGUCGCGGCAUGGUUGCUGAAUUUACAAUUUGGCUGGUCUUCAAUUUCUUGAAGUCACAUGUCAAGCCCAGAAAUGAUGACGUAGAUCACCUUGACCUAUGUGAACGACUGUGCGAAAGCCUACCGAAGGUGUUCUCACGACGUUGACGUAUGGACUCACAGCAACUCUGUAUUAAUUUUUGUAUAGAUAUAUAUCGACGUUUCUCGAUGCACAGACCGGUCGUAACAUCCGUAUACUACAUUUCAUAUCUUCCAAUUAAUAUCUGGGAGAUGGAGAUACAAAGAAAUGACUCACAUAUGAUGAAGGGUUGUAUAAAUUACAAAUCCUUUUUUAAUAUAAUGCAUUCAUGAAUAUAAUAUUUUCACUUGAUUUUCCUAUUGAUAUUCAUUUGCAUAUGUUAAAUAAAGAGUAAAAGUCAAUUUA